AUUGAACGCUGGCGGCAGGCUUAACACAUGCAAGUCGAGCGGAGAUGAGGUGCUUGCACCUUAUCUUAGCGGCGGACGGGUGAGUAAUGCUUAGGAAUCUGCCUAUUAGUGGGGGACGACAUUCCGAAAGGAAUGCUAAUACCGCAUACGUCCUACGGGAGAAAGCAGGGGAUCUUCGGACCUUGCGCUAAUAGAUGAGCCUAAGUCGGAUUAGCUAGUUGGUGGGGUAAAGGCCUACCAAGGCGACGAUCUGUAGCGGGUCGGAGAGGAUGAUCCGCCACACUGGGACUGAGACACGGCCCAGACUCCUACGGGAGGCAGCAGUGGGGAAUAUUGGACAAUGGGGGGAACCCUGAUCCAGCCAUGCCGCGUGUGUGAAGAAGGCCUUAUGGUUGUAAAGCACUUUAAGCGAGGAGGAGGCUACUGAGACUAAUACUCUUGGAUAGUGGACGUUACUCGCAGAAUAAGCACCGGCUAGCUCUGUGCCAGCCGCCGCAGUAAGAC
rnacentral:rRNA from 1 species